rnacentral:rRNA from 1 species
UACGGAGGGUGCAAGCGUUAUCCGGAUUCACUGGGUUUAAAGGGUGCGUAGGCGGAUAGGUAAGUCCGUGGUGAAAUCCUGCAGCUUAACUGCAGAACUGCCGUGGAUACUAUCUAUCUUGAAUAUCGUGGAGGUUAGCAGAAUAUGUCAUGUAGCGGUGAAAUGCUUAGAUAUGACAUAGAAUACCCAUUGCGAAGGCAGCUGACUACGCGAUAAUUGACGCUGAGGCACGAAAGCGUGGGGAUCAAACAGG